UACGGGGGGAGCAAGCGUUGUUCGGAUUUACUGGGCGUAAAGGGCGCGUAGGCGGUCAGCACAAGUCAGUUGUGAAAUCUCCGGGCUUAACUCGGAAAGGUCAACUGAUACUGUGCGACUAGAGUGCAGAAGGGGCAACUGGAAUUCUCGGUGUAGCGGUGAAAUGCGUAGAUAUCGAGAGGAACACCUGCGGCGAAGGCGGGUUGCUGGGCUGUUCUUGACGCUGAGGCGCGAAAGCUAGGGUAGCAAACGGG
rnacentral:rRNA from 1 species